CCUACGGGGGGCAGCAGUGGGGAAUAUUGGACAAUGGGGGCAACCCUGAUCCAGCCAUGCCGCGUGUGUGAAGAAGGCCCUCGGGUUGUAAAGCACUUUCAGUGAGGAAGAACGCCUGGUGGUUAAUACCCAUCAGGAAAGACAUCACUCACAGAAGAAGCACCGGCUAACUCCGUGCCAGCAGCCGCGGUAAUACGGAGGGUGCGAGCGUUAAUCGGAAUUACUGGGCGUAAAGCGCGCGUAGGUGGCUUGAUAAGCCGGUUGUGAAAGCCCCGGGCGCAACCUGGGAACGGCAUCCGGAACUGUCAAGCUAGAGUGCAGGAGAGGAAGGUAGAAUUCCCGGUGUAGCGGUGAAAUGCGUAGAGAUCGGGAGGAAUACCAGUGGCGAAGGCGGCCUUCUGGACUGACACUGACACUGAGGUGCGAAAGCGUGGGUAGCAAACAGGAUUAGAUACCCGUGUAGUC
rnacentral:rRNA from 1 species